CAAGAGCGUAUGUAAAAGUUGUUGCAGUUAAAAAGCUCGUAGUUGAACCUUGGGUUUGGUUGGCCGGUCCGCUUUUUUGCGAGUACUGGAUCCAACCGAGCCUUACCUUCUGGCUAACCAGUCGUUUCGGCGGCUGGCGAACCAGGAUUUUUACUUUGAGAAAAUUAGAGUGUUCAAAGCAGGCAUUAGCUUGAAUAUAUUAGCAUGGAAUAAUAGAAUAGGACGUUAUGGUUCUAUUUUGUUGGUUUCUAGGACCAUCGUAAUGAUUAAUAGGGACGGUCGGGGGCAUCAGUAUUCAGUUGUCAGAGGUGAAAUUCUUGGAUUUACUGAAGACUAACUACUGCGAAAGCAUUUGCCAAGGACGUUUUCAUUAA
rnacentral:rRNA from 1 species